UCUUUGUGGUGAAUCUGAAUGUGUGUAUGAGAGUAAUGGAUGAAGUGAAUGUGUGUGUCUCCUCUCCCCCCUUGAAUGAGUGUGCAACUCUCUAUUUAUAGAGUGCAAUUUCGUGCUCCCCUUUGGCUGGUGAAGCACACCUCUCUUAGCUGCUCCCAACUGCUCCAGCUGCCCAUACUUGCCAACUGCUCCAGCUGACAAAUACAUGCUUUGGUAUGGUUUCUCUAUGGAAAGCUUGACUUUUGUUCAUCUUUCUGAGCUUCUGAGCUUAUUUGACUCCCAUGUGUGGCUGCCCAUGUGUAGCACAUGGGUCUAGGGAUGUAGCCACAUUAAAUCUGAUGGCAGCCAACAUGACAUUUCUGUGAACUUGGUUCAGUCUUUGACGUGUUGAGGGCUCCAGAUUUAUCCAAGUGGGCUGAAAUUUGGAUAUGUUAUAAUAGACACCUAUUGGAACAACGUUUAUGAAGGAUGUCUCCUCAUCCGACCUCUGUAAGUUACUGAAAUGCGGCCUGCAAGAUGACCUACGAAACUG
rnacentral:lncRNA from 1 species